CCUACGGGAGGCAGCAGUGAGGAAUAUUGGACAAUGGGCGCAAGCCUGAUCCAGCCAUGCCGCGUGCAGGAAGAAGCAUCUAUGGUGUGUAAACUGCUUUUGUACGGGAAGAAACACUGCUACGUGUAGCAGCUUGACGGUACCGUAAGAAUAAGGAUCGGCUAACUCCGUGCCAGCAGCCGCGGUAAUACGGAGGAUCCAAGCGUUAUCCGGAAUCAUUGGGUUUAAAGGGUCCGUAGGCGGUUUGGUAAGUCAGUGGUGAAAGCCCAUCGCUUAACGAUGGAACGGCCAUUGAUACUGCCAGACUUGAAUUACUAGGAAGUAACUAGAAUAUGUAGUGUAGCGGUGAAAUGCUUAGAUAUUACAUGGAAUACCAAUUGCGAAGGCAGGUUACUACUAGUUUAUUGACGCUGAUGGACGAAAGCGUGGGGAGCGAACAGGAUUAGAUACCCUGGUAGUCCACGCCGUAAACGAUGGAUACUAGCUGUUCGGGGUAACCUGAGUGGCUAAGCGAAAGUGAUAAGUAUCCCCACCUCGGAGGUACGUUCGCGAGAAGAGAACGUACGAAGAAAGUUAGUACGGCGUGAGAGUAGACCGACGGACGACCGACGAGGGGAGGAGGG
rnacentral:rRNA from 1 species